GAUGAAGAACGUAGCGAAAUGCGAUACUUGGUGUGAAUUGCAGAAUCCCGUGAACCAUCGAGUCUUUGAACGCAAGUUGCGCCCGAAGCCAUUAGGCCGAGGGCACGCCUGCCUGGGCGUCACACGUCGUUGCCCCCCCAUCUACUCCUUCGGGAUUGCGGGGGGCGGAUGAUGGCCUCCCGUGCGCCUCGCCGCGCGGUUGGCAUAAAUGCCAAGUCCUCGGCGACGCACGCCACGACAAUCGGUGGUUGCGAAACCUCGGUUGCCCGUCGUGUGCGGUCGUCGCGCAUCGAGGGCUCGAAAAAAUUGCCUGGUUCCGGCUCGGCUUUCAACGCGACCCCAGGUCAGGCGGGGUUACCCGCUGAAUUUAAGCAUAUCAAUAAGCGGAGGA
rnacentral:misc_RNA from 1 species